rnacentral:rRNA from 1 species
CUUACCUAUCAGAGGGGGAUAACCCGGCGAAAGUCGGACUAAUACCGCAUGAAGCAGGGGCCCCGCAUGGGGAUAUUUGCUAAAGAUUCAUCGCUGAUAGAUAGGCAUGCGUUCCAUUAGGCAGUUGGCGGGGUAACGGCCCACCAAGCCGACGAUGGAUAGGGGUUCUGAGAGGAAGGUCCCCCACAUUGGUACUGAGACACGGACCAAACUCCUACGGGAGGCAGCAGUGAGGAAUAUUGGUCAAUGGCCGAGAGGCUGAACCAGCCAAGUCGCGUGAGGGAUGAAGGUUCUAUGGAUCGUAAACCUCUUUUAUAAGGGAAUAAAGUGCGGGACGUGUCCCGUUUUGUAUGUACCUUAUGAAUAAGGAUCGGCUAACUCCGUGCCAGCAGCCGCGGUAAUACGGAGGAUCCGAGCGUUAUCCGGAUUUAUUGGGUUUAAAGGGUGCGUAGGCGGCCUUUUAAGUCAGCGGUGAAAGUCUGUGGCUCAACCAUAGAAUUGCCGUUGAAACUGGGGGGCUUGAGUAUGUUUGAGGCAGGCGGAAUGCGUGGUGUAGCGGUGAAAUGCAUAGAUAUCACGCAGAACCCCGAUUGCGAAGGCAGCCUGCCAAGCCAUGACUGACGCUGAUGCACGAAAGCGUGGGGAUCAAACAGGAUUAGAUACCCUGGUAGUCCACGCAGUAAA